AAUAGUAUUAUAUGUCAUGACGUGGCAGUGGUUAUAGAGCGUAGUAGGGACCAGUCAAGGAGUGCAAACCCCCCGGAAACCGAGACAAAGUCCGCCCCGGCAAGUCGCGUAGACCCGUAGAUCGCGCAUUGGGGGCGGUAAAUCGUUCCAGCACCGGGAGGCCGCAAACCUGAACGAUCCACGAAAGGCAGCAGUUCUGUGCGCCGGCGUCUCGAAAACACUAGUACAAGCACGCCUGGGGUACCCUCCAUGCACCUUAGUCCACGCCAAUUUGCCAAAUAGAUAUUGCGGUGUGCCAGUGCUCAAACCAGUUACGAGGAGCUUGGAUUUCUUGGGGUUCAGGACAA